GCCUUUCUUUUGCAGCGGGUGGGCGUGGGUCGGUGCGAGGGCCGUUAGGGGUUGCUGCGCUCGCGUAUGCUGAGGGAGGGAGGAAAAUUUGGCGCGGUGUGCGGCUGGUUGGCCUUGGCCUUGGCCGGCUGCUGAAGAAGGAGGGGAGGGGAGGAGGGUGGUUAGAAGAGUACCGCUGAAGCUGAAGCGCGCUGGCGCCGCCGAUGGGCGGCCUGAGCUGCGCCGACGCGUAGCCGCUGCUGUAGCGGACCCGCCUGCAGCCGCCGCACAUGCUGGCGCUGCUGAGGGAGUUCCUCUUGUGGUUGGGGUUCACGGAGGAGUUCCGGGUGUUGGGCUCGCGCGGGCCGGUCGUGGUGGUGGUGGUGUUGCCGCGGCGCAGCGUCGCGAAGAGCCCCUUGGACUUCGGGUGCCGCCGCGGGUAGUAGCCGGAGAGGCCCUUCGAGCCUGUCCCGCCGCGCGCCGCCUGGGUGGUCGUCGUGGGCGGGCGGUACAAGGGGUUCUUCCGGUUCUGGCCGCCGCCGCCGGCGUUGGGCUCCGGGCGGCAGGGCCUCCUGCUCGGGUCGAGGGGGUUCCAGAGCACGUAGCCGUUCCACGAGAGGCUCGCGCUCUCCCGCGCUGCGGCCGGAGCGGGCGGGGGGAGCCUCGCGCGAAGAGGGCCGACGACGGGACCCGAGCCGAAGGAGUACGCGGCGUCGGCGAGCGCCUUCUCGCGGCAGCUCUCGCAGCUGACCAGGGGCGGAGGGGGCGGUGGCCGCCGCUCCGCCUCCCUCCGCUUCCGCCGACUCUGCCUCCUCCGGCGCGGCCGCGGCCGCGGGCCCGACCCUCCCCAGUACGCCAAGCGCAGCCCCUCCGCCCGCCGCCUAACCCGCCGGGUCUACCUCCACCUGCUGGCGCACCGCUUUAGGCCCGGCAACAUCGCGCCCGUCCUCUAAAUUAAAACGAGAACCCAACCCAAACCAACACUAGAGAAGACGACGAAGAACAACGGCACGAGAUCCGAAUCAUUUAGGCACACACAAACACACAUAUAUGACUAUCAUAAUUAAUCCUGUCUUUGUAAACACCCUAGUACUAUACCCAAACUUUUAGUCUGUUUUAAAACGAUCAAAGGAGUAGACGAAACCGAGCAAAGACUUAACAACGUUGAAGUGUACAAGAAACUGUUACAUCAGGACUGCAGAACACCUUUAAACUACUUUUAAAGUCUGGUUUAGAACUGAUGUAUAGAACGUGGUGGUAGAAGAACGUCUUCGAGUCGUCGGAUCGAACUCUCCUUGCUACGGCAGUACCCGGUACCGGUGUAGAGGUUUCCGUAAGGAGAAUAAGAUCACUCAAAUUAGGUAGAAAGUGGCACAGGUAGAUCAGUAAGGAUGAAUGUUAACCCUGUCUAAAACUUAACACGUUAUGAGACGGCAGUCCCUAGACUACUUUUAAGUUGGAAUCGACAUUGGUGAAUAAAAGUCGUGUAUCAAAGGGAUUUUAUACAAUGAUGAGACGGGUCGUAAGAAACGAGUUCACGCUGAAGUAAGUCUAAUCACCUUAAUUUAUUUGGAUUCGGUAGCCAUCUUACGUCUUUUCGUCGGUGAUGAACCAGCAUCUAGACAAACAAAGCACCAAUCUAAACCCGCACGGUGAAUGAGCCACUGUCUAUGCGGAACUAACUAAGAAAGUAACGUAUAGUCAAAUAAACUGAAGCAGUGAUAAAUAUAAUCAUCACAUAUUCGACAGUACAAAAGCUCAAACUAGUGCGUAGACUUAUGUGAUAAACAAGAUAAGUGCUUAAGACCGAGGCUUUGACGUCUUUGUCGACGUGACAAGGGAAACAACGAAAGCUUCCCAAAAGAACGUUCCUGAACAAUUCACUGACUAAUACACGAAAUGACAAUUAAGAUAACAUCAUUUGUACACGAUCAUAGGAACUAGGAGGUAUAGAGAAGAGUUUGAACUUAAAUACAACAAUGUAGUAUUUAACUCCUAGGUCAUACGUCGGACAUAUAUGUCUCCACGGUAAAACGUAACAGGUGAUCGACGUAGCAACAAAGGUCUCUACUUGAAAUCAAUAGAUAAAUAACAACGUCUCAUACGUAAAAUAGUAGCAGUCAUGUAGUGUUUUCUAGCAACCGAGGUAGUACGUAGUAACAUUACCCCAAUACUACACUACCUAUAACUAAUAGAGUUUUAGGGUUUGACACGAGGACAUAUAACCGAUGUCUGGACAGGCGGUUGAAGAAAAGUGAAGAAUUUGAUUAAUGAUCCCUUUUAACAUAUAGAUGUUGAUUUAUAAAUAUCGUGUAAGUAUAAAUCAACAAGACUUCACUUCUUAAAUCUUUGAAGUUGAGACCGAUGAAUUCAAACGUGAAGUGUAACUUGCAUUCACUCGAUACCUAUGGCUCCCACCGAUAUAGACAAAAAGACAACGGACUUGUACAGACCCAUACAUUUAGUAACUUGUCGACCAUUACCACAGCGUUUUAUAUAUGGUAUUGGAGGUUUACUUAAGACGACAUUACUCUUUUAACGUUAUCUGUGACCACAUCACAUUUAACAGUUUUGUACCACGUCAGGAACCAUAAUUUAAAUAACCAACGAAGCUCAAGACUUAUAGUAAUCACUAUCAAGGUGUUUCUUUCUGUCUUUCAAGGUUCUCGCUCAACAACGUGAUCCACCUAAAAGUUCUCGGAUCGUCGUGAUUGUAUGUAAAAAAUUAAAUCACGAUAACCGUUGUCUUCCCAAUGAUCAAAGGUCCUAAAGUUACAUUUGUUUCGCAACUCAUCUCUUUGUUAUCAAAGACGAACUCUAUCGUCACCGCCAUUCGUAGUUGAAUCGACCUUAAUUAUAACUGACUUGUGUUACCUAAAAAAAACAAUAAAGAUUACUACCCGUCUUUGAAGCUUAAAGAGGAACAAGGUUAGAUUUAUUGUGUUCAACCAUGGCUCAGACAGCCUUUGUCACGGUAAGCCAUAGCACUAUUACAUCCGAAGAAUUAGGAACACUACAGAAGCUCUGCUCGCAUAACAACUACGACUAAAAGGUUUAAUUUACGGAAAGAUGUAAAGUCCGCUCCCUGGUGUGUCUAAACAACACGGCGUUCUCGCCCAUAUACGGUAGUCCGAGUCAAUAGUAUCUUCCCUAUUAGCGGCCGGAACCUCAGUGACCUAAAUACGUAACGUCUUGUGUUCGUUUCGAACAGAACUUCAACCGACUGGAACACUCUUUUGUAACAAGUUCGUUCGUCAACGUACACGAUAAGUAAGACUACGACAAUUGUCCCUACUUUAUUCUUUAGACCCCUUACAUACACAAGUGAACGUCAUAUG
rnacentral:rRNA from 1 species